AAAACGCGAAAUGUGUUAUAAAGUGCAGUCUUUGUGAAUCAUGAAUCUUUGAACGCACCUUGCACCACAUUACCAGUGGUAUGUCUGUUUGAGGGAGGUAACAUUGUGGAAGUGAUUCUGGGAUGGGGUUUGGAUUACGUUGUUAAUGCUGCCCUCAAAGAGAAGCAAUGGUGAAUGGGAUAAUUCCGUACUUUCACUAACCAAUCAUAUUUCUCCUCAAAUCAGGCAAGAUGACCCGCUGAACUUAA
rnacentral:misc_RNA from 1 species